UUGCUGGAGGCGGGUGUAUAUUUUUGUUUGCUUGAGAUGGUGAAUAGGUGAAUAGGUGAAUAGGUGAAUAGCUCGCUUAUCGUGUGUGUGAAUCAGUGAAUCAAUCGAUUAGUGUAGUGUUCGUCCGCGUGUAUACCAUAACGUGUGUGAUGUGCGUGUCACUGUAUGUGUGGCUAUACUAGACAACGAGUCACUCUCAAUGUCUAAAAAGAAAACAACAUACGGACGGACGAAUACAUGAUAGUGGAUAAGUGACAAAUAAAAAUUGAAUUAGAAAUAAAUAGCCAAACGGAAAUAGUAGUGUGUCACAUUAAACUCGGUCGGUUAUUGUCGCAUUAACGCCUGCCAGUCGGGUGGUGUGCAUGAUGUUUGUUUGCAAAUUUUAACAUACAUAUGUAAGCGCGAUAAUCACCAAAGAGAAAAUACGUAAAUUGUAUUCCCGCUUACUAGCACGGGAAACAAAGGAAACUCGUGGCUUCACAUUAACCCGCAAUAAAUCAUCAACGAGUUUGAAACCAAUAAAAAAACAUUCACUAAAGCAGAUAUUCAUUCGCCAAGAACGGCGACGGCCAGCAUUAGUACGUCAUUAAAUGAAGUUGCAGCGGCAGCGGCAUCAAGAACAAUAACAAAAAGCAUACAUAUCUUAAUGAAAUGUUUAUUCCUUUCGAAGACUGCC
rnacentral:sRNA from 1 species